rnacentral:rRNA from 1 species
GACGAACGCUGGCGGCGUGGAUUAGGCAUGCAAGUCGAACGGUAGAUAUCCUUCGGGGUAUUGAGAGUGGCGAACGGGUGAGUAACACGUAGGUAAUCUACCCUCAAAUCGGGGACAACCCAGGGAAACUUGGGCUAAUACCGGAUGAGUGCAGCACCUAAAUCAUCCAUACGGAAUCUGGGUUAAGAUUGGGUUUUGUAUGGUUGGGUGAUUUAGGUGCUGUAUAAAAGAUGGCUUCGGCUGUCGUUUGAGGAUGAGCCUGCGCUCUAUUAGUUAGUUGGUGAGGUAAUGGCUCACCAAGGCAACGAUCAGUAGCCGACCUGAGAGGGUGAUCGGCCACACUGGAACUGAGACACGGUCCAGACUCCUACGGGAGGCAGCAGUGGGGAAUAUUGCACAAUGGGCGAAAGCCUGAUGCAGCAACGCCGCGUGAGCGAUGAAGG